rnacentral:rRNA from 1 species
UACGAAGGGUACAAGCGUUGUUCGGAAUUACUGGGCGUAAAGCGCGCGUAGGCGGACGCGUAAGUCGAUUGUGAAAUCCCUGGGCUUAACCUGGGAACUGCAGUCGAAACUGCGUGUCUUGAGUGCCUGAGAGGAUGGCGGAAUUCCCGGUGUAGUAGUGAAAUACGUAGAUAUCGGGAAGAACACCUGAGGCGAAGGCGAGCUAUCUGAGUGGUGUCAUUGACGCUGAGGCACGAAAGCGUGGGGAGCAAACAGGAUUAGAACCGUACGUAGUCAG